rnacentral:misc_RNA from 1 species
GCAGCACUGGGAAUGAGAGCUUUUUUGCCCAAAAAAUACCAAACUAAAUACCAAAUACCUCGUUUCUGAGGAAUAUUCCGCACACACUGUCUGGUCACACUGGAAUGAGCAAACCACAAGCGCUUCGUUUUUAUUCGCGAAAUUUGUUAAUUAAAGUGCAAUUGGAGAAACUUUGAAGAUUAAUAAGUGAAGGGAGUGAGCGUGCAAUCGCCGAUGCAUCCGGGCCAGUGAGCGAGUGCGUCCGGAGCCGAGCUGGCGGCGGCAGCGAAAUGCGCAGCGCAAACAACGCAAAAGUAGAGCAGUUGCUGUAACGGGAGGUAGGAAAGGGGCAAGGGAGAGGGGCCGAAGGGAGGUGGAGGUGCAAAAGAGGCAGGAAGCGUCUUGAUUUUUCGGAUAGCCGGACAACUAACGGGACUAUCUGGAAAAAAAAAUCCGACAGAUGGAGCCCCCAGCAGCACCAGUGGCUCUCGCGCCUCUGGCAGCCUCGACGUCAUGCCUGGCGGACAGGACAGCUUCCGUGGAGCCUCUGACCCUGCGAUCCGAGGCGGAAGAAGGCGAGGAGGAGGACGACGAAGAUGAGGAUGACGACGACGAGGAGGAGGAGGAGGAGGAGGAAGAAGAAGACGACGAAGAGGAGGAUGAUGCGAAGGAGGCCUUCUAUGAGGCGAGAAAUGGCAACGAAAGCGACGAUCUGGAGCAGGCCUUUCAAAGUGCUCUUACCCUGGAUGUCCAAGUGAAUGUGAGUGAAGUGCCAGAGGAUUCCCCCAAAGGUGGACCUAGUAGGGAUGAACCAGAGCCGGAGCCGGAGCCAGGGCAGGAGGAGCUGCAGCUUCAAGGAGCCUGCGGAUUAUCGAAGCCAUCUAGUAAUCACACCACCAGAGAAGAUAAACCCGUAGAACCACAUGAACCCCGCCACCAGACCCUCCUCUCCACCAAAUCCUGCGAAACGCCGGCCAACACCACCACCCUCUCGCCCACGAACUCGUACAACGGCAGCAUUGGCAGCGACGGCGGCAGCAGCGUGGGUGGCGGUGCCCGGCGCAAGUCCUGGACCCUGUCGCCCCAAAGCGGCAACUCCACGCCGCUCAGCGGCGCCAAGAAGAAGACCAAGCCGGGAGCAGCGGCAGCUCCACCCAGCUCCAGCCUGUCCAGCACCAAUGGCGAGGGCUUCAACCUGUGGGUGGCGCGGGAGUGCUUCGAGACUGUGCCCGCCGAGAUGGUGGACAGCCUGAGCAUGGCCGAGGUCAGCGAGGAGGUGGACGAGGAGGAGGAGGAGGAGGACGAGGAGGCGGCCGCCGUGGAGAGUCUCCUGGGAGCGGCAGCCGCUCUGCAGGCCUCCGCCCAUGUCCAGCGCCGCCAGCAGCAGCAGAAGCAUCAACAGCUGCAGCUCCAGCCCCACCACCACCAGCAGCACCAGCAGCAGCUGCACCAUCACCAUCUGAGGCAGCCAUCGCCGCCCCAGCAUCGACCCCUGGAGCGCUCCUGGCCGCCGAGAGCCGUGGGCCGUGAUCUCAAGCUGCAGGGCGAUGUCUUCCAGUUCGACAUCCUCGACACGGACGAGAGGCUGGCGGAGGAGCUGCCUCCGGGCAGCGGCAGCUCCAACAACUCGCCCCUGGCCACGCCGCCGGUGCGCUUCAAGCCGCUGCUGAAGAAGAAGAUCGGGCCGGACAGCUACAUCAACACCAUCAGCACCCAGAAGGUGCCGGCCCAUCAGAGCUACGAGUUCCCCACCUUCCCCAGCUCCUCGGGCGGCGCGGCCUCAUCCUCGGCCGCCUCGUCCUCGCCGAACAACCUCCAGUUCCCGUACCUCCGCCAGCACCGUCCGCUCACCCGCGCCCUGUCCAACGGCAAGGCCAGUUCCUCGGAGGAGCAGGCCUCGCCCCGGCUCCUGCUCUCGCCCAAGCGGCCAAGGAGUCCCCCGUCCGGCUGCUCGACGCGCAGUGCCUCGCCCCUGGAUUUGAGCCUCAGUCCGGAGCAGCACUCCCCCACCCGGGGCCGGGGAGUGGGCGGCGUCCUGCAGGAGCCAGUGCCACCCGGAACACCCACAUUCCACGGCCAGCGGCCGCAGCAGCGCCUUCUCAAGCGUGUGGGCGGUGGAGCCGGAGCUGGAGCCGGAGUCGGAGCCGGCGUGGCCAGUGGCUCCUCUCUGGUCUGCCCGCCCACACCCACGCACCACGCCCGGCGGCACGCCCGCCUCCAAGCCGUCACUGCCAACUCGAGCCUCGCCAGCGGCGUCGGCGGCGGAGUGCCGCACCUAGCGGACCCCGCCCCGUCCGCCGCCUCUAGUCAAUUGGACUACAUCUACCUGCAGGAGGACGCUGUGGCGCCGGAGCCAUCGGGCCAGGAGGCGGCCAGCAGCGACGAGGUGGUCCACAUCAGCAGCACCCGACUGCCCUCCAUCCCGGAGCGCAGUGCCGCAGCGGCGGCGGCAGCGGCAGCAGCAGCAGCGGCCGCCGCAGGAGCCGCUCUCAUGGAGCCCGGAACCGGCGCCGGUUCUGGGGGAGUGGGCAGCGGGGCGGCGGCGGCCACCGGAGAGCCACCACUGCCGCCGGCGUGGGAGGCGCGCAUGGACAGUCACGGCCGCAUCUUCUACAUCGAUCACACGACGCGGACGACCUCCUGGCAGCGACCGGGAGCGGCGCCGAGUGCCGGGCCGGCAGGACGGGAGCAGCAUCAUCGCCAGCAGCUGGACAGGCGCUACCAGAGCAUCCGGCGCACCAUCACGAACGAGAGCCGGGCAGCGCAGCUCUACAGCCUGCCGACAUCCGGUGGCGCCGCAACGAAUCCGGCUGCGGCAACGGCAUCGCCUCCGCCGCCGACGGCUGCCACGUCGACCGCCGCCGCCACCGCCGCCGGGCUGCAUCCCGCCAUCCUGAUGCUCUGCCGGCCGGACUUCUACUCGCUGCUGCACACCAAUGAGGCCGCCCUGGCGAUCUACAACCGGAACGCGGCCCUCAAGCACAUGGUGAUGCGGAUCAGGCGCGACCCGCAGUGCUUCCAGCGCUACCAGUACAACAAGGACCUGGUGGCCCUCGUCAACACCUUCGCCCAGCUGAGCCGCGAGCUGCCCUCCUGCUGGGAGACCAAGCUGGACCAGUCCGGCAAGCAGUUCUUCAUCGACCACCAGCACCGGCGCACCUCCUUCAUGGAUCCCCGCCUGCCGGUCGAGUGUCCUCGGGUGGUGCGCCACCGCCAGCAGCAUCCCCAGCAGCAGCAGCCGACCGGCUACUGCCAUCCGGACCUGGUCGACGGCAACUGCCUCUCGGCCACCAGUGGCCACAUCAACGCCAGCCCGGCCUCCUCGGUAUCCGGAGUACCGCCGCUGCCGCCGCCCAGGCCCCUGUCCUCCUCCUCCGGCACUGCGAGGAGUCACGGCCAUGGACAUGGCCACAACUGCACCACGGCGGCGGCCAUCGCCUGCCUCAGUCUGGGCGGGGCGGCGGGCGGAGCUGUGGGCGUGGGCGUGGCAGCCGGAGCAGGAGCAGCAGCCGCCGGAUACGAAGACGUUCCAAUAGCCUACAACGAAAAGGUGAUUGCCUUCCUGCGGCAGCCGAACAUCCUGGAGAUCCUGCGGGAGCGGCAAGGACAGCACACAGUCUCCCGGUCGCUGCGCGAGAAAAUCAAUAUCCUGCGAGUGGAGGGCGUCCCGGCCCUCGAGCGCCUGGGCCAUGACCUACAAUUGACCAUUUUGCUGAGCCUGUUCGAGCAGGAGAUCAUGAGCUACGUCCCCAUCGAGGAGCGCAGUCCCCAGGGCUCCCCGGUGCUCAGCUCCCGGAUGCCGCAGCGGGCGCCGCCUCCCUUCCGCCGGGACUUCGAGGCCAAGCUGCGCAGCUUCUACCGCAAACUGGAGUCCAAGGGAUACGGCCAGGGACCCCACAAACUCAAGCUCCACAUCCGACGAAGCCACUUGCUGGAGGACGCCUUCCGGCGGAUCAUGUCCGCCAACAAGAAGGACCUGCAGCGCGGUCGCCUGGCCGUGCUGUGGGACACGGAGGAGGGCCUGGACUACGGCGGACCGUCGCGGGAGUUCUUCUUCCUGCUCUCCCGGGAGCUGUUCAACCCGUACUACGGCCUGUUCGAGUACUCCGCCAACGACACGUACACGGUGCAGGUGUCGCCGCUGUCGGCGUUUGUGGACAACUGCCACGACUGGUUCCGGUUCAGCGGGCGGGUCCUGGGCCUGGCCCUGGUCCACCAAUACCUGCUGGACGCCUUCUUCACCCGGCCCUUCUACAAGGCCCUGCUCCGGCUGCCGGUGGCGCUCAGCGAUCUGGAGUCGCUGGACAACGAGUUCCAUCAGUCGCUGCAGUGGAUCCGCGACAACGACAUCGGCAGCGGCGUCGAUCUCGGCCUCACGUUCUGCGUCACCGAGGAGCUGCUGGGCCGGAUUGUGGAGCGGGAGCUGAAGCCCGGUGGCAAGAACAUGAUCGUCAACGAGAAGAACAAGAAGGAGUACCUCGAGCGGAUGAUCAAGUGGCGGCUGGAGCGCGGCGUCCAGGAGCAGACCGAGUCCCUGGUCCGGGGCUUCUACGAGGUGGUCGACUCCCGGCUGGUCUCCGUCUUCGAUGCCCGGGAACUGGAGCUGGUGAUCGCCGGCACCGCCGAGAUCGACACCAACGACUGGCGCCUGAACACCGAGUACCGGUCCGGGUAUCACGACAACCACCAGGUGAUCGUGUGGUUCUGGCAGGUGAUCGAGCGCUUCAGCAACGAACAGCGCCUCCGACUGCUGCAGUUCGUGACCGGCACUUCCAGCAUCCCCUACGAGGGCUUCUCCGCCUUGAGGGGCUCCACUGGACCGAGGCGAUUCUGCAUCGAGAAGUGGGGCAAGCCGAACGCCCUGCCCCGGGCCCACACCUGCUUCAAUCGGCUGGAUCUGCCGCCGUAUCCGACGCCGGAGCUGCUCUACGAGAAGCUCCUGCUGGCCGUCGAGGAGACGAAUACGUUUGGUAUCGAGUAGUCACGUGAUACAGCACCGCCGCCGCCUCCUUAUGUUGCACCAAAAAAAACAAAAACAAAAACACACCAAACACCUAUGACAUGCACCUGAAGCGCUUUACUUUCGAUUUUAGAUGUUUUUUGUAAUUGUGUAAGGCUAGUUUAGUGCCCCCCGCCCCGGCUGGGAGCAGGCCACAGUCUCUGGGUCUAUUCCGAAGUGGUAGUAGAGAGUGUCGAGAGCAGUCCGUGAGAAGAAUCGAUGAACGAGAGCUGAAGAAGCGGCUGCUGAAGACGAGAGUUUGCAGAAAAGUAAGCAGAGUCUACAGAAGAGUCAAGAAUCAAGAAUCAAGAAUCAAGAAAAUAACACUCUACGAUAGAAAUACUUUUUGGGAUUAUAGUAGCUGUAACCCAAGAUUUUAAGAAGCAACCGCACGAUUCUUCAGCUCAGAAAUAAAGGAAAUACAAAAAUUCCCUUUCGCAACUAACAAUGUACUUGGAGGACAAAAUAUUUCGGCAACAUCCAAACUAGCUUCCUAUUAUGUUUAAGCUAUUUAUAUAUUUAAUUUUCCCUAUAUUCUGUAUUUUUUAAAGUUUCCAUUAUUUUUAAGCGGUUCCCAGUAUUUUUAAGUAUUUCUUGAUGUAUAAUCCUUUUCCAUUAGUUUUAGAAAUUUAUAACUAGUUUAUUUUUCAAUAAUUUUUAAGCAUUUCCCUGUAAAUAUCCCAGAUAUACGCGUUUCCUUGUAAGCCUAUUGUAAAUGCUGGGGAAAACAGUGCUAUUCCUACAGUAUGCUAAAAAGGGAAUAUCCUGUAUUUCCCCAGUAUGUUGUAUACGCGUAUUAGACAAUGUUAAGAAUUUCCUUGUAAAUUUCCCUAAUCCCAUACUUCGGAUAUACGCGUUUCAGACGAUUUAAAAAAUUUCCCUCAAAAUUUCCCUGAUCUCCAAUACUUCAGAUAUACGCGUUUCAUACGAUUUUAAAAAUUUCCCAAAAAAUUUCCCUAAUCUCCAAUACUUCGGAUAUACGCGUUUCAGACGAUUUAAAAAAUUUCCCUCAAAAUUUCCCUGAUCUCCAAUACUUCGGAUAUACGCGUUUCAGACGAUUCUAAGAAUUUCCCUAAAAAUUUCCCCGAUCUCCAAUACUUUGGAUAUACGCGUUUCAGACGAUUCUAGCAAAAUUUCCCUAAAAUUUCCCUUAUUUUCUAAGACUCCGGAUAUAGGCGUUUAAGAUGAUUUGUAAAAUUUCCCUGAUUUUAAUAAAUUUCCCCUGUAUUUUGGACAUUUUUUGGUUUUUUUAUUGGCGGUUUCCCUGUAUUUUUUAGAUCAUCCAGUGAGAUUUUUGAAAAACCAGUAUUUUAAAAUAUUUUA